UACGGAGGGUGCGAGCGUUGUCCGGAAUCACUGGGCGUAAAGGGCGCGUAGGCGGCUCAUGAAGGCUGUGGUGAAAGUCCGGGGCUCAACUUCGGAUCGGCCGUGGCGACUCGUGGGCUGGAGCACUGUAGAGGCGGGUGGAAUUCCGGGUGUAGCGGUGGAAUGCGUAGAGAUCCGGAAGAACACCAGUGGCGAAGGCGGCCCGCUGGGCAGUGGCUGACGCUGAAGCGCGACAGCGUGGGGAGCAAACAGG
rnacentral:rRNA from 1 species